CAGACUUAAAAUAACUGGAAGAACUACUUGACUGAGAUGGAGCUGGACUGUGUAGAACAAAUAGAGAAAGAGACCUGUUGCUGUGAUGGACACUUGCUCCCGUCUACUUCCUUAUCUAUUAUCCACUAGUUAACCACAUCUAAUGAAGAGAAUAUCUAAACCAUAAAAUCUUAAGGUAAAAUAUUAUGAUUUAAAAGAUCAUAAAACUUUAUUACUGGGCUAUUUACAUGAUAUUUUAAUUGUUUCUCAUAAAAUAUAUAACAUCAUAAUCUUUGUUAAAGUAGAAUAUUUUCAUAUCACAUGUAUGAUGCAAAUUUACAUGGUAUUUUAAAUGAAGUUUUUUAGCCUCUUAAAGUUUUAAGUGGAUCCUACAAAUGAAAACCAUGUGAGUUUGACAUACUCAAAUUGCCCAAAUGUCAGCCAUUUAAACAGCCAAACAAGCAAGUCAUCAUUGAUACUUUAGUAAAGGUCAUUGAAGGCUUAUUGCAUUU
rnacentral:lncRNA from 13 species